GAUGAACGCUGGCGGCGUGCCUAAUACAUGCAAGUCGAGCGAAUGGAUUAAGAGCUUGCUCUUAUGAAGUUAGCGGCGGACGGGUGAGUAACACGUGGGUAACCUGCCCAUAAGACUGGGAUAACUCCGGGAAACCGGGGCUAAUACCGGAUAACAUUUUGAACCGCAUGGUUCGAAAUUGAAAGGCGGCUUCGGCUGUCACUUAUGGAUGGACCCGCGUCGCAUUAGCUAGUUGGUGAGGUAACGGCUCACCAAGGCAACGAUGCGUAGCCGACCUGAGAGGGUGAUCGGCCACACUGGGACUGGGACACGGCCCAGACUCCUACGGGAGGCAGCAGUAGGGAAUCUUCCGCAAUGGACGAAAGUCUGACGGAGCAACGCCGCAUGGGUGAUGAAGGCUUUCGGGUCGUAAAACUCUGUUGUUAGGGAAGAACAAGUGCUAGUUGAAUAAGCUGGCACCUUGACGGUACCUAACCAGAAAGCCACGGCUAACUACGUGCCAGCCGCCGCAGUAA
rnacentral:rRNA from 1 species